GAUGAACGCUGGCGGCGUGCUUAACACAUGCAAGUCGAACGAUGAAGCCCAGCUUGCUGGGUGGAUUAGUGGCGAACGGGUGAGUAACACGUGAGUAACCUGCCCUUAACUCUGGGAUAAGCCUGGGAGACUGGGUCUAAUACCGGAUAGGGGCGCCUACCGCAUGGUGGGUGUUGGAAAGAUUUAUCGGUUUUGGGUGGACUCGCGGCCUAUCAGCUUGUUGGUGGGGUAAUGGCUCACCAAGGCGACGACGGGUAGCCGGCCUGAGAGGGUGACCGGCCACACUGGGACUGAGACACGGCCCAGACUCCUACGGGAGGCAGCAGUGGGGAAUAUUGCACAAUGGGCGAAAGCCUGAUGCAGCGACGCCGCGUGAGGGAUGACGGCCUUCGGGUUGUAAACCUCUUUCAGUAGGGAAGAAGCGAAAGUGACGGUACCUGCAGAAGAAGCACCGGCUAACUACGUG
rnacentral:rRNA from 1 species